rnacentral:rRNA from 1 species
CCUACGGGCGGCUGCAGUGGGGAAUAUUGGACAAUGGGGGGAACCCUGAUCCAGCCAUGCCGCGUGUGUGAAGAAGGCCCCCGGGUUGUAAAGCACUUUCAGUGAGGAAGAACGCCUGGUGGUUAAUACCCAUCAGGAAAGACAUCACUCACAGAAGAAGCACCGGCUAACUCCGUGCCAGCAGCCGCGGUAAUACGGAGGGUGCGAGCGUUAAUCGGAAUUACUGGGCGUAAAGCGCGCGUAGGUGGCUUGAUAAGCCGGUUGUGAAAGCCCCGGGCUCAACCUGGGAACGGCAUCCGGAACUGUCAAGCUAGAGUGCAGGAGAGGAAGGUAGAAUUCCCGGUGUAGCGGUGAAAUGCGUAGAGAUCGGGAGGAAUACCAGUGGCGAAGGCGGCCUUCUGGACUGACACUGACACUGAGGUGCGAAAGCGUGGGUAGCAAACAGGAUUAGAUACCCCAGUAGUC